GCCUGGGUGGCUGAGUGGGUUAAGCUUCUGACUUUGGCUCAGGUCAUGAUCUCAGGGUCCUGGGAUCGAGCCCCACAUCAGGCU
rnacentral:tRNA from 1 species